CUCCGUAGGGUGAACCUGCGGAGGGAUCAUUACCGAGUUUACAACUCCCAAACCCCUGUGAACAUACCUUAUGUUGCCUCGGCGGAUCAGCCCGCGCCCCGUAAAAAGGGACGGCCCGCCGCAGGAACCCUAAACUCUGUUUUUAGUGGAACUUCUGAGUAUAAAAAACAAAUAAAUCAAAACUUUCAACAACGGAUCUCUUGGUUCUGGCAUCGAUGAAGAACGCAGCAAAAUGCGAUAAGUAAUGUGAAUUGCAGAAUUCAGUGAAUCAUCGAAUCUUUGAACGCACAUUGCGCCCGCCAGUAUUCUGGCGGGCAUGCCUGUUCGAGCGUCAUUUCAACCCUCAAGCCCAGCUUGGUGUUGGGAGCUGCAGUCCUGCUGCACUCCCCAAAUACAUUGGCGGUCACGUCGAGCUUCCAUAGCGUAGUAAUUUACACAUCGUUACUGGUAAUCGUCGCGGCCACGCCGUUAAACCCCAACUUCUGAAUGUUGACCUCGGAUCAGGUAGGAAUACCCGCUGAACUUAAGCAUAUCAAUAAGG
rnacentral:rRNA from 1 species